rnacentral:rRNA from 1 species
UGGGGAAUAUUGCACAAUGGAGGAAACUCUGAUGCAGCGACGCCGCGUGAGUGAAGAAGGUCUUCGGAUCGUAAAACUCUGUCCUUGGUGAAGAAAUAAUGACGGUAGCCAAGGAGGAAGCCCCGGCUAACUACGUGCCAGCAGCCGCGGUAAUACGUAGGGGGCGAGCGUUGUCCAGAUUUACUGGGCGUAAAGGGUGAGUAGGCGGUUGUAUGUGUCAGAUGUAAAAGGCUAAGGCUUAACCAUAGUUAGCAUUUGAAACUGUACAACUUGAGUGCAGGAGAGGUAAGUGGAAUUCCUAGUGUAGCGGUGAAAUGCGUAGAUAUUAGGAGGAACACCAGUGGCGAAGGCGACUUACUGGACUGUAACUGACGCUGAGUCACGAAAGCGUGGGUAGCAAACAGGAUUAGAUACCCUGGUAGUCCACGCUGUAAACGAUGAGUGCUAGGUGUUGGGUAGCGAUACUCAGUGCCGAAGUAAACACAAUAAGCACUCCGCCUGGGGAGUACGGUCGCAAGACUG